rnacentral:rRNA from 1 species
CCCUUAGAUGUUCUGGGCCGCACGCGUGCUACACUGAGCGGAUCAGCGGGUCAGGUUGCGCGAAAGUGUUUCCUAAUCUUGAAAUCCGCUCGUGAUGGGGAUUGACGGUUGCAAUUUUCCGUCAUGAACGAGGAAUACCUUGUAAGCGCGGGUCAUCAUCCCGCGCUGAAUACGUCCCUGCCCUUUGUACACACCGCCCGUCGCUCCUACCGAUUGAGUGGUCCGGUGAGGCUUUGGGAUCUGAGCAAAGAGAGCGUUUCGCUCGUUUUGCCCGGAAAACUCAGUCGAACCUUAUCAUUUAGAGGAAGGAGAAGUCGUAACA